rnacentral:lncRNA from 1 species
GAACAAUACGAUGUUUAAUAUUAUAUAAUAUUGCCAUGUGAUUCAUGCAGAUUUACGUGUCCCUUUAGACUGCACAGACACACCAUCAACAUAUUGUGUCUUAAUAUCCGUCCCUUUGAUCAUCCUCACCUAUUUCUCAACCGCAGAUUACCUCUUCCCACAAAAAGACAAUUACGAUAAUUUAAAGAAUAAUACUAUUCAUAGUCGCUCUAUAUCGAUAAUCGUCUUAAAUGAUUCAAAUAACAAACUAUCACGUAAGACGACUAUCGACAGUUAGCGAUUAUAAAUAGCAUUAUUCAAUUUUAAAUGGUACCCGCUUUGUCCCUCCAUUACAAAACCCAUACUUGUGCUUGUCCCUUCUCGGCUGCCCAUAGACAUGGCUAUUGUACAACAAUCGCAACGUAAUGUACAAUGAUCAAUUUGAAAAGUGUUAGGGUUUGUUUGGGAGAGGUUGGAAAAACUGUUGGAAAUUUGGAAAUAUGUAUGCUUUUAGAUUAUUAGAAAAACUACAUAUACAUUCACGAUAAAAUAAAUAAUUAUUUACUAUAUUCAGGAUUUGUUUUCUGUUAUACAACGAAUGAUUACUAUUUACUAUUCGUUAAAUGAAAUGACGAUUAAAAGGA